rnacentral:rRNA from 1 species
ACGGAAGGCAGCAGUGGGGGAUAUUGCACAAUGGAGGAAACUCUGAUGCAGCAACGCCGCGUGAAGGAAGAAGGUCUUCGGAUUGUAAACUUCUGUUCUUGGUGAAGAAACAAAUGACGGUAGCCAAGGGGAAAGCCACGGCUAACUACGUGCCAGCAGCCGCGGUAAUACGUAGGUGGCGAGCGUUGUCCGGAAUUACUGGGUGUAAAGGGUGCGUAGGCGGGACUGCAAGUUGGAUGUGAAAUCCCGGAGCUUAACUCCGGAACUGCAUCCAAAACUGUGGUUCUUGAGUGAAGUAGAGGUAGGCGGAAUUCCGAGUGUAGCGGUGAAAUGCGUAGAUAUUCGGAGGAACACCAGUGGCGAAGGCGGCCUACUGGGCUUUAACUGACGCUGAGGCACGAAAGCGUGGGGAGCAAACAGGAUUAGAUACCCUGGUA